UGCAGUCGAACGCUGAAGCUCCAGCUUGCUGGGGUGGAUGAGUGGCGAACGGGUGAGUAAUACGUGAGUAACCUGCCCUUGACUCUGGGAUAAGCCUGGGAAACCGGGUCUAAUACUGGAUACGACGUCCUGCCGCAUGGUGGGGCGUGGAAAGGGUUUUACUGGUUUUGGAUGGGCUCACGGCCUAUCAGCUUGUUGGUGGGGUAAUGGCCUACCAAGGCGACGACGGGUAGCCGGCCUGAGAGGGUGACCGGCCACACUGGGACUGAGACACGGCCCAGACUCCUACGGGAGGCAGCAGUGGGGAAUAUUGCACAAUGGGCGCAAGCCUGAUGCAGCGACGCCGCGUGAGGGAUGACGGCCUUCGGGUUGUAAACCUCUUUCAGCAGGGAAGAAGCCACAAGUGACGGUACCUGCAGAAGAAGCGCCGGCUAACUACGUGCCAGCAGCCGCGGUAAUACGUAGGGCGCAAGCGUUGUCCGGAAUUAUUGGGCGUAAAGAGCUCGUAGGCGGUUUGUCGCGUCUGCUGUGAAAGCCCGGGGCUCAACCCCGGGUCUGCAGUGGGUACGGGCAGACUAGAGUGCAGUAGGGGAGACUGGAAUUCCUGGUGUAGCGGUGAAAUGCGCAGAUAUCAGGAGGAACACCGAUGGCGAAGGCAGGUCUCUGGGCUGUUACUGACGCUGAGGAGCGAAAGCAUGGGGAGCGAACAGGAUUAGAUACCCUGGUAGUCCAUGCCGUAAACGUUGGGCACUAGGUGUGGGGGACAUUCCACGUUCUCCGCGCCGUAGCUAACGCAUUAAGUGCCCCGCCUGGGGGAGUACGGCCGCAAGGCUAAAACUCAAAGGAAUUGACGGGGGGCCCGCACAAGCGGCCGGAGCAUGCGGGAUUAAUU
rnacentral:rRNA from 1 species